rnacentral:rRNA from 1 species
UUGAACGCUGGCGGCAUGCUUUACACAUGCCCGUCGAACGGUAACAGGCCGCAAGGUGCUGACGAGUGGCGAACGGGUGAGUAAUGCAUCGGAACGUGCCCAGUCGUGGGGGAUAACUACUCGAAAGAGUAGCUAAUACCGCAUACGAUCUAGGGAUGAAAGCGGGGGACCGUAAGGCCUCGCGCGAUUGGAGCGGCCGAUGUCAGAUUAGGUAGUUGGUGGGGUAAAGGCUCACCAAGCCAACGAUCUGUAGCUGGUCUGAGAGGACAACCAGCCACACUGGGACUGAGACACGGCCCAGACUCCUACGGGAGGCAGCAGUGGGGAAUUUUGGACAAUGGGCGCAAGCCUGAUCCAGCAAUGCCGCGUGCAGGAAGAAGGCCUUCGGGUUGUAAACUGCUUUUGUACGGAACGAAACGGCUCUGGUUAAUACCCGGGGCUAAUGACGGUACCGUAAGAAUAAGCACCGGCUAACUACGUG